rnacentral:lncRNA from 13 species
AUGCCCCUCCGUCAAAUUCUUUCUUCUGAGGAGGCAAGAAUUGAGGUUGCUGUAGACCCGUGUGGAUUCGCCACCAGUAACAAAACCAUAAUUACACAGGGAGGGUUUCUUCCAUCAGGCUGGUGGCAUGCUCCUUCUACAGCAGAAUAUGCUGCGGCUUUUUUCUUAUUCUUUUGGCCUUCAGAAGAAAGAGUGCUGCAUGCCAGUGUCUUCAAGUGGAUACUUCUGAGGCCCUUCAGAAAGAGCAAGAAUGGAUCCAGAGAGCUGCUUGGCCUCAGGAUACUCCUUUGGUUCAUCUAUAUUCACCAGGGACAUUCCAGUGUUGUCGUUUUUAAACGGUCCCAAUUCUGAUUGCUGAGAGAGAAAACUGGCAUUGCCUAACUGAAGGCAGAUGUCCACCCAUGGCCAAGUCAUCUAUGGUCAAGAGUAUGAUAUUAUGCAGCACAAAUAAGGCUUCUGGGCCUACUUCUGCUGGUGACAGAGCUGGUUCUCAGAGAAUGGACAAAAAUGCAUAAAUACCUACAGAAGGAAGUAUGAUGGCAAGGAACCAUGGUUCAGAGGUUCAGCAAAUGAAAAGGGUUAUUCAUGGUAGAGGUAAGAAAAGGUGCUACAGGACUUAAAGGAAAAGAUGUGUGACUUUCAACUGAAGGAUCAAGAGAAAGUUCCCUGGAGCUGGCAUCUAACUGGCUGGCAUGGACUGAAAAGAUUUGCUCAUACUAGGAUAGAAAGAGGGGCAUCAGUUCAGGCAGGAGGCAUGGCAGGAUUCAAGGUCCAAGUGGAAACCACAUUUGCUGGAGGCUCAGAUUUAAGAGUAUAUCUAAGAGAUAGGGUAAUUGAAACCAUGAGUGUUAAUGAUUUUGCAAAGAGACAACAGGAUCAAGAAAUGGAAUGAGGCCAAACAAAGCAGGUCUCAGUGAGGUGUGAAAAGAUUUGAAUAAAAAUGAGAUAUAGAACCA